CCUACGGGAGGCAGCAGUGAGGAAUAUUGGUCAAUGGGCGCGAGCCUGAACCAGCCAAGUCGCGUGAGGGAGGACGACCCUACGGGUUGUAAACCUCUUUUGCCGGGGAGCAACGGGCGUCACGUGUGGCGCCACUGAGAGUACCCGGAGAAAAAGCAUCGGCUAACUCCGUGCCAGCAGCCGCGGUAAAACGGAGGAUGCGAGCGUUAUCCGGAUUUAUUGGGUUUAAAGGUUGCGUGGGCGGAUCGUUAAGCCAGUGGUAAAAUUGAGGGGCUCAACCCCUUACCGCCGUUGAAACUGGAGGUCGUGAGUGGGAGAGAGGUAUGCGGAAUGCGUGGUGUAGCGGUGAAAUGCAUAGAUAUCACGCAGAACCCCGAUUGCGAAGGCAGCAUGCCGGCUUCCGACUGACGCUGAAGCACGAAAGCGUGGGGAUCGAACAGGAUUAGAUACCCCAGUAGUC
rnacentral:rRNA from 1 species